UACAGAGGGGGGCAAGCGUUGUUCGGAAUUACUGGGCGUAAAGGGCGCGUAGGCGGCCCGCUAAGUCGAACGUGAAAUCCCCCGAGCUCAACUCGGGAACUGCGUCCGAUACUGGCGGGCUUGAAUCCGGGAGAGGGAUGCGGAAUUCCAGGUGUAGCGGUGAAAUGCGUAGAUAUCUGGAGGAACACCGGUGGCGAAGGCGGCAUCCUGGACCGGCAUUGACGCUGAGGAGCGAAAGCCAGGGGAGCAAACGGG
rnacentral:rRNA from 1 species